rnacentral:tRNA from 1 species
UGGGGGAUCGUCUAGCGGCAGGACAGCGGGCUCUGGACCCGUAAGCGAAGGUUCGAAUCCUUCUCCCCCAGCCA